rnacentral:lncRNA from 1 species
AUUGAAAGCAAUGUAAUUACGAAUAGAGCAUAAUUGCAAAGUAGGAGCAAAAGAACCAGAGUUUGACUUUAAUUUUGUUUGUUUGAAAAAAAAACAACAAAAACUUGCAAAAAGGGACGGCAGGAAAAAAAUCGUGAAAUAUGAUGAGACUUUUAGGGAGAUUUUUUUGGAAUAAAAAUAAAAAUAAAAAUUAACUACCCCCACUAACCCUAUUGCAAAAAAAUCCCAACAACUACGGUAACCUACAACCAACUUACAACUCAGAAUUUAAUUCCUAACCCAGCACCACUCCAUGCCCCAUUGACAGAAAACUACAAAAAAUAACACUCUUUCGUUCCCCCCAAGAUUUGAACCCAAGACCUCCAACUCUCCACUAAAGCCCUUAACCCUUGGACAAAUACAUACGUAUGAAAAAAUCAAAC